AUAUAUGAGGGCUGAUCCAAACCCUGUUGAAGUCAAUGGGAGUCUUUCUAUUGACUUUGCUAGGCUUUGGAUCAGGCCACUGAAG
rnacentral:pre_miRNA from 1 species